GACAGAGGGUGCGAACGUUGUUCGGAAUUACUGGGCGUAAAGCGCGUGUAGGCGGCAAUGCAAGUCGGGCGUGAAAUCCCACGGCUCAACCGUGGAAGUGCACUCGAAACUGCAUAGCUAGAGUCCUGGAGAGGAAGGUGGAAUGCUUGGUGUAGAGGUGAAAUUCGUAGAUAUCAAGCGGAACACCGGUGGCGAAGGCGGCUUCUUGGGCCGUUCCUGACGCUGAGGCGCGAAAGCCAGGGGAGCGAACGGG
rnacentral:rRNA from 1 species